UACGGGGGGAGCAAACGUUGUUCGGAUUUACUGGGCGUAAAGGGCGCGUAGGCGGUCAGCACAAGUCAGUUGUGAAAUCUCCGGGCUUAACUCGGAAAGGUCAACUGAUACUGUGCGACUAGAGUGCAGAAGGGGCAACUGGAAUUCUCGGUGUAGCGGUGAAAUGCGUAGAUAUCGAGAGGAACACCUGCGGCGAAGGCGGGUUGCUGGGCUGACACUGACGCUGAUGCGCGAAAGCCAGGGAGCGAACGGG
rnacentral:rRNA from 1 species